rnacentral:rRNA from 1 species
UACAGGAGGGGGCGAGCGUUAUUCGGAAUUGAUUGGGCGUAAAGGGCGCGUAGGCGGCCUUUCAAGUGACGGGUGAAAUCCCUCGGCUUAACCGAGGAACUGCCUGUCAGACUGGAAGGCUUGAGACCGGGAGAGGUGAGUGGAAUUCCCAGUGUAGAGGUGAAAUUCGUAGAUAUUGGGAAGAACACCGAUGGCGAAGGCAGCCAUCUGGACCGACACUGACGCUGAGGCGCGAAAGCGUGGGGAGCAAACAGG